AUUCAAGGUUGGUCUGGCCCCAAGAACUGUACAGCAGCAGCAGCAGUUCAGCUGGCAGAGGUGCUGUUGCUGAGCUGGGAGUGGAAAGCACAUUUUCUCUUCAUGAUACAUGGUGUACCUGCAUGUGGGAAGCUCCUGGCCCAGAAGGAGUCUCACCAUGGCUUCAUGAUGGCCUCACCAUGGAACCCAAGAACACAGCUGCCACAGGACUGCUCCUACCCUCCCAAGAGCCACUCUUAAACAGCUGCCAAAUGGCAGCCAGCCACCUGGGGUGAAGAGGUGGGCAGUAAAUGGAUGUGGUCCUGGUGAAGUCUUCUAACAAGAUUUCUAACAGUCUUACUCUGUCACCCAGGCUGGAGUGCAGUGCUACAAUCUCGGCUCAUUGCAAACUCUGCCUCCCAGGUUCAAGCGAUUCUCAUGCCUCAGCCUCCCGAGAAGCUGGGAUUACAGGCAUGCGCCACCAUGCCCAGCUAAUGUUUUGCAUUUUUAGUAGAGACGGGGUUUCAUCAUGUUGGCCAGGCUGGUCUCAAACUGCUGACUUCAAGUGAUCUGCCCGACUUGGCCUCCCAAAGUGCUGAGAUUACGGAUGUGAGCCACUGCGCCUGGCCUGCAAGACUCUUUUUUUUUGUGUGUGUGUAUUUCAGUGCUGUGUACUGAAACAGGAAGGAUCUCCAUUAAUGCUGGUAGUACUAGAAGGUAACAUGCAAUGCCAUCUACCCUUCUAUUGACUCUUCAGUACUAUCAAGGAAGAAAAGGAAAAUAACCAGUAGCCUGGAAGAAGCUUUAAGCUCGUUAGAUAAAGUGUGCUGUCCGGAUUUUCCCCAGACCUUCUCUGUCCAUGAUAAACAGAGGGAGAGCUGGGAUAGGUUUUUGAACAAUUGCAUUGCAGCCAUGUUGAUGUGGGUGGUGUAAUGAAAGUUGGAAAAAUCAGAGUGA